rnacentral:rRNA from 1 species
GAGUUUGAUCAUGGCUCAGGAUGAACGCUAGCGACAGGCUUAACACAUGCAAGUCGAGGGGCAGCGGGGGCGAAGCUUGCUUCGCCUGUCGGCGACCGGCGCACGGGUGAGUAACACGUAUGCGACCUGCCCCCCGCAGGGGGAUAACCGGGAGAAAUCCCGACUAAUACCGCGUAACGCCGCGGGGCUGCAUGGCCCCGCGGCCAAAGGAAGCGAUUCCGGCGGGGGAUGGGCAUGCGGCGCAUUAGCUAGUCGGCGGGGUAACGGCCCACCGAGGCGACCAUGCGUAAGGGUUCUGAAAGGAAGGGCCCCCCCACUGGUACUGAGACACGGACCAGACUCCUACGGGAGGGAGCAGUGAGGAAUAUUGGUCAAUGGGCGGGAGCCUGAACCAGCCCAGUCGCGUGAGGGAAGACGGGCCUAUGGAUUGUAAACCUCUUUUGCCGGGGAGCAACGGGGUCCUUGCGAGGGCCUGAUGAAAAUACCCGGAGAAAAAGCAUCGGCUAACUUCCUGGCAGCCGCCGCGGUAAUACGGAGGAUGCGAGCGUUAUCUGGAUUUAUUGGGUUUAAAGGGUGCGUAGGCGGGCUGUUAAGUCAGCGGUCAAAUGUCGGGGCUCAACCCCGGCCCCCCGUUGAAACUGGUGGCCUCGAGUGGGCGAGAAGUAUGCGGAAUGCGUGGUGUAGCGGUGAAAUGCAUAGAUAUCACGCAGAACUCCGAUUGCGAAGACAGCAUACCGGCGCCCGACUGACGCUGAGGCACGAAAGCGUGGGUAUCGAACAGGAUUAGAUACCCUGGUAGUCCACGCAGUAAACGAUGAAUGCUAGCUGUCCGGGGCUUCGGUCCUGGGUGGCACAGCGAAAGCGUUAAGCAUUCCACCUGGGGAGUACGCCGGCAACGGUGAAACUCAAAGGAAUUGACGG